rnacentral:rRNA from 1 species
GUCUGCAACCCGACUCCACGAAGUUGGAUUCGCUAGUAAUCGCGCAUCAGCCAUGGCGCGGUGAAUACGUUCCCGGGCCUUGUACACACCGCCCGUCAAGCCAUGGGAGCCGGGGGCGCCUGAAGUCCGGGACCGCGAGGACCGGCCUAGGGCGAAACUGGUGACUGGGGCUAAGUCGUAACAAGGUAUC